AUAAGUCUCGCCCAAUAAGCCUGUUACUAGUCAAUGUAGUUAUCUACACUUUUUAAAGGGAUUGUCUGAUUUAGUAAACCCCUUUUUCAGAUACUGGAGUUGUAUCUGUCACCAAUUUGAAAGGUGUCAUUAAAAUGAUACAUCCCCUUGUGAAUAUUCAGAAAAUUGGUCAGAUGGUACCACAGGAUAAUACAAUGGCUAUGUACCACUUAGAACUGCUGGGAGAAACACAUGGCUGAGCACUUCACUUGGACAUCUCGCCUCUGCCUCCUUGACACGUGUCUUAUAGCAGCAAAUACAACUGACAGAUUCCUUUUAAAGCACCACAACUCCACUUUAUAAUUUUUU